rnacentral:rRNA from 1 species
GACGGGGCCGCACAAGCGGUGGAGCAUGUGGUUAAUUCGACGCAACGCGAAGAACCUUACCAGGGCUUGACAUCCCCUGACCGCGUAUGAAAGUACGUUUUCACCCUCGGGUGACAGGGAGACAGGUGGUGCAUGGUUGUCGUCAGCUCGUGUCGUGAGAUGUUGGGUUAAGUCCCGCAACGAGCGCAACCCCUACGUUUAGUUGCUAACAGGUGAAGCUGAGCACUCUAGACGAACUGCCGUUGACAAAACGGAGGAAGGUGGGAUGACGUCAAAUCAUCAUGCCCCUUAUGUUCUGGGCUACACACGUGCUACAAUGGCCGGUACAGACGGAGGCGAAGCCGCGAGGCGGAGCAAAUCCGAAAAAGCCGGUCUCAGUUCGGAUUGCAGGCUGCAAUUCGCCUGCAUGAAGUCGGAAUCGCUAGUAAUCGCAGGUCAGCAUACUGCGGUGAAUACGUUCCCGGGUCUU